AACGCACGAGACCUGCGGACCUGCGGAAGGAUCAUUACAGUAUAUUGAAUUCUUAUUCAUAUCAACCCACACUGUGUACCUUUUAUUUGUUGCUUCCAUGGGACAUGGCUCUGCCACGUCGGCCUCUGGGCUGAUGAGUUCCCAUGGAAGGAAACCCAUAACUCUUUUUAUUUUUGACAUCUGUCUGAAUAGUUUUUAUAAACGUUAAAACUUUCAACAACGGAUCUCUAGAUCGGAAGA
rnacentral:misc_RNA from 1 species